rnacentral:misc_RNA from 1 species
AAGAAAGCCCCCCGUUAGAAUAUAUGGAUCUUACGAUAGAUGUUGUACAUCAUUGUAAAGGAAUUCCGUUAGCUCUUAAAGUUUUGGGUUCGUCUCUUGGUGACUUAAGUAUAGAGAUUUGGGGAAGUGCAUUAAGGAAAUUGAAAGAUAUUCCAGACAGUAAAAUCCUUGAAAAACUAAGGAUAAGUUAUGAAUGUCUACCAGAUGAUAAUGUUCAAAACCUAUUCCUCGAUAUUGUCUGUUUCUUUGCUGGUAAGGACAAAGAUUAUGCAGUAAGAAUACUUGAUGGAUGUGGUUUCUUUUCGGUCAUUGGCAUUCAGAUUCUUGUUGACCGAUGCCUAUUGGAAAUUGACCAUAACAAACUGAUGGUGCAUCAAUUACUUCAAGACAUGGGAAG